rnacentral:rRNA from 1 species
CGACCGGCAAACGGGUGCGGAACACGUACACAACCUUCCUUUAAGUGGGGGAUAGCCCAGAGAAAUUUGGAUUAAUACCCCGUAAGAUAGUUUAGUGGCAUCACUAGGUUAUUAAAGCUCCGGCGCUUGAAGAUGGGUGUGCGUCUGAUUAGGUAGUUGGUGUGGGUAACGGCCCACCAAGCCUACGAUCAGUAACUGGUGUGAGAGCACGACCAGUCACACGGGCACUGAGACACGGGCCCG